rnacentral:rRNA from 1 species
AAACUAGGAUUAGAUACCCUAUUAUCAUUAUCAGUUAUUAAAUACUCACUGAUUAAUCAGAAAACUUAAAAAAUUUGACGGUAUUUUAUUUUAAUUAGAGGAAUUUAUUUUUUAAUUGAUAAUACACGAAAAAAUCUACUUAAGAAUUUAUUUUUAUAUACUUCUGUUUUUGAAUUAAUUUUAAAAUUUAAUUCUAAAAAUCUUUUUGAUUAAAUUUCAAGUCAAAGUAUAAAUUAACUUAAGAAAAUAAUGAAUUACUUUUUUUAUUAAAUUAAGUCCUAUUAUUUAAUUAAUAUGAUAAAAAGAAUUUAAAUGUAAAUUUAUUUAAAUUUAUUAAGUUAAUAAAAUUUUAAAAUAUGUACAUAUCGCCCGUCAUUCCCUACCAGGGAUAAGUCGUAACAUAGUA